GGGAGAUUGGUGUAAUUGGUAGCCGCAGUGGAUUCAAAAUCUACCGUCUUCUGACGUACCGGUUCGAGUCCGGUAUCUCCCACGA
rnacentral:tRNA from 1 species